GUCAACCAGGCGCUGGUCUGGGGGAACUUGUUGCUGCGGAGGGCGCGAUGGGGAAAUCAGAUUUUCUUACCCCUAAGGCCAUCGCCAACAGAAUCAAGUCCAAGGGGCUUCAGAAGUUGCGCUGGUAUUGCCAGAUGUGCCAGAAGCAGUGCCGGGACGAGAAUGGCUUUAAGUGUCAUUGUAUGUCCGAAUCUCAUCAGAGACAACUACUGCUGGCUUCAGAAAAUCCUCAGCAGUUUAUGGAUUAUUUUUCAGAGGAAUUCCGAAAUGACUUCCUAGAACUUCUCAGGAGACGCUUUGGAACCAAGAGGGUUCACAACAACAUCGUUUACAAUGAGUACAUCAGCCACCGAGAGCAUAUCCACAUGAACGCCACGCAGUGGGAGACGCUGACAGAUUUUACUAAGUGGCUGGGCAGAGAAGGCUUGUGCAAAGUGGACGAAACACCAAAAGGCUGGUAUAUUCAGUAUAUAGAUAGGGACCCUGAGACGAUCCGCCGGCAGCUGGAACUAGAGAAGAAGAAGAAGCAGGACCUUGAUGAUGAAGAAAAAACUGCCAAAUUUAUUCAAGAACAAGUGAGAAGAGGUCUGGAGGGGAGAGAGCAGGAAGUCCCUGUUUUUACGGAAUUAAGCAGAGAAAAUGAUGAAGAAAAAGUUACAUUUAAUUUGAAUAAAGGAGCAUGUAGUUCAGGAGGAGCAUCUUCCAAAUCAAGUUCUUUGGGACCAAGUGCUCUGAAGACAGUAGGGAACGCAGCAUCAGUGAAACGGAAGGAAUCUUCCCAGAGCUCAGCUCAGUCAAAAGAAAAGAAGAAGAAGAAAUCUGCACUCGAUGAAAUCAUGGAGAUUGAAGAGGAGAAGAAAAGAGCUGCCCGAACAGAUUACUGGCUCCAGCCUAUGCUCAGAAGAGUGAUGCUUUUAACUGGAGCUAGUCUGGAGGAGUCCAGUCUUACCAAAAAUCCAGAGCAACAUCAUGAGAAGAGAGCACUGUGGAAAGUGUUGUGCUUUAGCUCAAAGCCUCCGUUGCUUGCAGUUCCCAGUGAGACUCCUGCUCUCUUGAGUUUUUUUGUCAGCGGUGAAUGUCAACAUAUAACAUCCUUGGCAUUUUUUCUUCCUUGAAUGGAGAGAAAGAAAGAAGCUCUCUAUGAAAAACCUGGAUUAAUAGAGUUGAGAUUGGUGGAUGAAAGUCCUAGAUUUCAGGAAACCUUCACUAUGGAAAUCAGCCAUGAGAUACGCGUUUUUUCCUCUUGGUAACCAACUGUGUUGAAUAAAAAGAGACAGAAGGAAUGAAAGAUUACUAAGGAAAUGUUCUGCCAUCGUUGGGAAGACUUCCAACUCCAAAAUGUCUUAUUUAGCAAAGCAGUUAACAUUUUACUAUGAUUUUUGGUGAAAAUGUUUAAAAUGAAGGAUCAAAAGGGGAAAGAUAAUUUAUAUCAUUCCUUCCAUCUUUAUUUUUUUCUUAUUUUCCAGGAAAUUGUAGUGAAAAUUAUAACCAAAAAACUUGGAGAGAAAUAUCAUAAGAAAAAGGGGAUUGUUAAGGAAGUAAUUGACAAUUACACAGCUGUCGUGAAGAUGAUUGAUUCUGGAGACAAGCUGAAACUUGACCAGACUCAUUUAGAAACAGUAAUUCCAGC